rnacentral:rRNA from 1 species
UACGGAGGGUGCGAGCGUUGUCCGGAAUUACUGGGCGUAAAGCGCGCGUAGGCGGCUUUUCAAGUCGGAUGUGAAAUCCCCGGGCUUAACCUGGGAACUGCAUUCGAGACUGUCUAGCUAGAGUAUGGGAGAGGGAAGUGGAAUUCAGGUGUAGCGGUGAAAUGCGUAGAUAUCUGAAGGAACAUCAGUGGCGAAAGCGACUUCCUGGACCAAUACUGACGCUCAUGUGCGAAAGCGUGGGGAGCAAAC